rnacentral:rRNA from 1 species
AAUAUUGGACAAUGGGGGCAACCCUGACCCAGCCAUGCCGCGUGUGUGAAGAAGGUCUUCGGAUUGUAAAGUACUUUAAGUUGGGAGGAAGGGCUUUAGGUUAAUACCCUCAAGUUUUGACGUUACCAACAGAAUAAGCACCGGCUAACUCUGUUCCAGCAGCCGCGGUAAUACAGAGGGUGCAAGGGUUAAUCGGAACUCCUGGGCGUAAAGCGGGCGUAAGUGGUUCAGUAAGGUGGGUGUGAAAUCCCCGGGCUUAACCUGGGAACUGCUUUCAUAACUGAUGAGCUAGAGUACGGUAGAGGGUAGUGGAAUUUCCUGUGUAGCGGUGAAGUGCGUAGAUAUAGGAAGGAACACCAGUGGCGAAGGCGACUACCUGGACUGAUACUGACACUGAGGUGCGAAAGCGUGGGGAGCAAAC